rnacentral:rRNA from 1 species
UGGUGGCAAUAGCAAAGAGGUCACACCUGUUCCCAUGCCGAACACAGAAGUUAAGCUCUUUAGCGCCGAUGGUAGUCGGACUAACGUUCCGCUAGAGUAGGACGUUGCCA